rnacentral:lncRNA from 1 species
CAUGCUCAGUGUAAAUUCUCCUGGAGCCUGUCAAGCUAUGUUUGAACUCGUUCCAGGAUAGUGGAUUUACUUUUUUUUCCCCACCAGGAAGAAUACUCGAUUAGACUGCAUUUUGCCUUGCUUUUCCUUCUCCCUUUCUCUCUCUUUCUUUCUUUCUUUCUUUCUUUCUUUCUUUCUUUCUUUCUUUCUUUCUUUCUUUCUUUCUUUCUUUCUUUUUCUUUCUCUCUCUCUCUCUCUUUCUUUCUUUCCUUUCUUUUCUUUCUUUCCUCUUUCUCUUUCCUUCUUUCUUUUUUUCUUCUUUCUUUCCUUCCUUCCUUCCAUCUUUCUUUUCUUUCUUUCCAUUUUUUUUUUCCUCCAGAAGAAUGGAAACAGUAUUCUUUUCCGAUCAGUUCAGUAAUACAAUGUCCUUCAGUGUCCAUAUGAGCAUUUCAGUGGAGAAGAAAAGAAACUUUGCUACCUGGGAACUGAAGACUACUUAGGUCAGUAAAUGCUAAUAAAGUUCUUAAAGACUUAUGGAGCCAGGAGUUAACUUUUCUUAACUGUUAAGGUAAUCUACAGCUAAUGUAAUUGCCUUUUCAAUUAGUGGGUGUACACUGAUUUUUUUUUUCCACACAAAAACUAUGUUUUUCAUGUAUUGGAGUGAUUUCCCAAACACAGGGAAAAUAUGUCUUUUGGUUAAUUUGCAUUUGAAAGAACUUCUUUUUGUAUGAAAGGUUCUUUCUCUCUACCACAAAUUAUGUGUUUUUUAAACAAAUAUUGUGGUGAGCUGAUGUAGCCGUAAUGGUCUGAAUGUGGAUGUGUUGUUCUGUGUUAUAUUAAUUCUUGGCUUGGGUAGGUUUGGUGAAAGUUAUUGCUUUUGUUGCUGCCAGAGAUGAAAGAGAGUUUGUUUUGUUGUGGAUGUUGUUUUGGAACUUUUGGUGAGCUUUGAGGCUGCCUUGGGAGCCCCUUAUAGAGAGGAGAGCCAUCUCUUUCCACGUUUAAUGUGCAUUUUUCAAAAUAUUCAAAUUUAACUCUAAGACGGGAGUAUAGCUUUUUAAGAAUCUGUGUAGGAAUAGAGUUUUCUUAAAAAUGUAGUUUUGGAGGGAAAUGGUUUAUAGAAAGGUUUGUAAUAAAGAAUUUAAAUCAAGACUGCCAUGGUGAAUAUAAGCAAAAAAUGCAAAAAAA